rnacentral:rRNA from 1 species
CAGCCGCCACGGUAAUACGAAGGGGGCUAGCGUUGUUCGGAUUUACUGGGCGUAAAGCGCACGUAGGCGGACCUUUAGGUCAGGGGUGAAAUCCCGGGGCUCAACCCCGGAACUGCCUUUGAUACUGGGAGUCUUGGGUUCGAGAGAGGUGAGUGGAAUUGCGAGUGUAGAGGUGAAAUUCGUAGAUAUUCGCAAGAACACCAGUGGCGAAGGCGGCUCACUGGCCCGAUACUGACGCUGAGGCACGAAAGCGUGGGGAGCAAACAGGAUUAGAUACCCCAGUAGUCCCUGUCUCUUAUAA